rnacentral:tRNA from 1 species
UCCCAUGUGGCUCAGUUGGUAGAGCAUGGCACUUGCAAUGCCAGGGUUGUGGGUUUGAUUCCCAUGGGGGAC